CGAAUGCUGACAUAAGUAACGAUAAAGCGGGUGAAAAGCCCGCUCGCCGGAAGACCAAGGGUUCCUGUCCAACGUUAAUCGGGGCAGGGUGAGUCGACCCCUAAGGCGAGGCCGAAAGGCGUAGUCGAUGGGAAACAGGUUAAUAUUCCUGUACUUGGUGUUACUGCGAAGGGGGGACGGAGAAGGCUAUGUUGGCCGGGCGACGGUUGUCCCGGUUUAAGCGUGUAGGCUGGUUUUCCAGGCAAAUCCGGAAAAUCAAGGCUGAGGCGUGAUGACGAGGCACUACGGUGCUGAAGCAACAAAUGCCCUGCUUCCAGGAAAAGCCUCUAAGCAUCAGGUAACAUCAAAUCGUACCCCAAACCGACACAGGUGGUCAGGUAGAGAAUACCAAGGCGCUUGAGAGAACUCGGGUGAAGGAACUAGGCAAAAUGGUGCCGUAACUUCGGGAGAAGGCACGCUGAUAUGUAGGUGAAGUCCCUCGCGGAUGGAGCUGAAAUCAGUCGAAGAUACCAGCUGGCUGCAACUGUUUAUUAAAAACACAGCACUGUGCAAACACGAAAGUGGACGUAUACGGUGUGACGCCUGCCCGGUGCCGGAAGGUUAAUUGAUGGGGUCAGCGCAAGCGAAGCUCUUGAUCGAAGCCCCGGUAAACGGCGGCCGUAACUAUAACGGUCCUAAGGUAGCGAAAUUCCUUGUCGGGUAAGUUCCGACCUGCACGAAUGGCGUAAUGAUGGCCAGGCUGUCUCCACCCGAGACUCAGUGAAAUUGAACUCGCUGUGAAGAUGCAGUGUACCCGCGGCAAGACGGAAAGACCCCGUGAACCUUUACUAUAGCUUGACACUGAACAUUGAGCCUUGAUGUGUAGGAUAGGUGGGAGGCUUUGAAGUGUGGACGCCAGUCUGCAUGGAGCCGACCUUGAAAUACCACCCUUUAAUGUUUGAUGUUCUAACGUGGACCCGUGAUCCGGGUUGCGGACAGUGUCUGGUGGGUAGUUUGACUGGGGCGGUCUCCUCCUAAAGAGUAACGGAGGAGCACGAAGGUUGGCUAAUCCUGGUCGGACAUCAGGAGGUUAGUGCAAUGGCAUAAGCCAGCUUGACUGCGAGCGUGACGGCGCGAGCAGGUGCGAAAGCAGGUCAUAGUGAUCCGGUGGUUCUGAAUGGAAGGGCCAUCGCUCAACGGAUAAAAGGUACUCCGGGGAUAACAGGCUGAUACCGCCCAAGAGUUCAUAUCGACGGCGGUGUUUGGCACCUCGAUGUCGGCUCAUCACAUCCUGGGGCUGAAGUAGGUCCCAAGGGUAUGGCUGUUCGCCAUUUAAAGUGGUACGCGAGCUGGGUUUAGAACGUCGUGAGACAGUUCGGUCCCUAUCUGCCGUGGGCGCUGGAGAACUGAGGGGGGCUGCUCCUAGUACGAGAGGACCGGAGUGGACGCAUCACUGGUGUUCGGGUUGUCAUGCCAAUGGCACUGCCCGGUAGCUAAAUGCGGAAGAGAUAAGUGCUGAAAGCAUCUAAGCACGAAACUUGCCCCGAGAUGAGUUCUCCCUGACCCUUUAAGGGUCCUG
rnacentral:rRNA from 1 species